UACGGGGGGGGGGCAAGCGUUUGUUCGGAAUUACUGGGCGUAAAGGGCUCGUAGGCGGCCAACUAAGUCAGACGUGAAAUCCCCAGGCUCAACCUGGGAACUGCGUCUGAUACUGGUUGGCUUGAAUCCGGGAGAGGGAUGCAGAAUUCCAGGUGUAGCGGUGAAAUGCGUAGAUAUCUGGAGGAAUACCGGUGGCGAAGGCGGCAUCCUGGACCGGCAUUGACGCUGAGGAGCGAAAGCUAGGGGAGCAAACGGGG
rnacentral:rRNA from 1 species